UUAAUGUAGCUUAAAUUUUUAAAAAGCAAGACACUGAAAAUGUCUAGAUGGGCCCUAUAGCCCCAUCAACA
rnacentral:tRNA from 1 species